GAAGGAAGAAAAAAAAAAAUCUGGAGAAGUAGGGAGAAGAUUUGUUUGUGUGUGACUACUAUGCAAAAGUAUUUUGUAUAUUCUUUCUGUAUGCUUUAUAGCU
rnacentral:ribozyme from 1 species